CGAUCAGGGGUAAACCUGAGAAACCCGAAAGGUCGAAUGGGGAGAUUCAGCGUGUCUCGUCGAAGGAGUGUUUUGGUCUAGUGACGAUCCGGUGUUCGCACCGGGCUGCACAUUCCGAAUCCGUAACCGGCGACGAACUCGUGCACUUCUCCCCUAGUAGGACGUCGCGACCCGUUGGGUGCCGGUCUAAGGCCGACGGAGGAGACUUGGGGGAGUUCCUCGGAAUGUUCUUCAAGACCCGUCGUGUCCCGGCCGGCCCGCUCGACGGUAAGACAGAGGCGUGGGGUCGCUACUAGUUAGCGUCCGGCCCGUCACAAGUUCGGGCGACUGCUCGGAUGUCGGACCUGUGUGCCGACCCCGAGAUCGCACGGCUGUUGGUGGCGGUGUCCUCGGACAGACUUCGAACACGCCGGUCGGCGACGCUCUAGCUUUGGGUACUUUCAGGACCCGUCUUGAAACACGGACCAAGGAGUCUAGCAUGUGCGCGAGUCAUUGGGACCGCAUCUAAACCUAAUGGCAAAAUGAAAGUGAAGGCCGCCUUGCGCGUGCCGAGGGAGGAUGGGUCGGGCUCCGCUCGCAACCCCGCACUCCCUGGGCGUCUCGUUCUCAUCGCGAGAUGAGGCG
rnacentral:rRNA from 1 species